rnacentral:lncRNA from 1 species
UUUUUUUUUUUUUUUUGGUCUUUUUGCCUUUUUCUAGGGCUGCACUGGCAGCAUAUGGAUGUUCCCAGGCUAGGGGUAUAAUCGGAGCUGUAGCCACCGGCCACAGCCACAGCCACACGGAAUCCAAGCCACAUCUGUGACCUGAACCACAGCUCACGGCAAUGCUGGAUCCUUAACCCACUGAGCAAGGCCAGGGAUCGAAACCACAACCUCAUGGUUCCUAGUCGGAUUCGGUAACUACUGCGCCACGACGGGAACUCCUACUUACAUAUUUAGAAACACACUGUUGGAGGAAAUAAAAUUAAAUUCUUUUUCCAAUAUUCAGAUUGUGAGGUGCUAAAGUUAAUCAAGCGUCCUAGCUCAUGUCCAGCAGAUUAUCAGACUGUAAUUUGCCUUCAACAAAUCCUUUCUGUUCUCCAGUGCAAAUUCCAACCUUGAUUCAAUCAAUAAAAGGAACCAGAGAGAAUAAUGUCUACUUAGAAAAAGUAUUACACACCAAGCUAUUUUGAGAAGAGCUUGAAACCAAAAUAAUUAGCACCUAUCAAAAACUUUAACCUGUUGAAAAAGUUCUGUCAGAAAAAUAGAAACCACACUCAUUCUGGCAGAGAGAAUGUAAUAUGAAGAAUGAGUUAAAAAGGGAUAAGAGAGGAGUUUCUACUGCGGUGCAGUGAAAAUGAAUCCAACUGUUAACCGUGAGGAUGUGGGUUUGAUCCUUCGCCUCGCUCCAUGGGUGAGGGAUCCAGUGUUGCCAUAAGCUCUGGUGUAGGUCGCAGACACAGCUUGGAUUCCACGUUGAUAUGGCUGUGGUGUAGGCUGGCAACUGUAGCUCCGAUUGGACCCCUAACCUGGGAACUUCCCUAGGCCCUAAAAAAAAGGUGGGGCGGGGGGGAGAAAUGGGAGAGCUGAGAAAGCCCAGAAGAGGACAUUCAGGCCACAGAUGACACCAGUGCAGGAAGCAGGGUACCGCUCAAAGAAGGUGCAUGUUCCCCUGAUAGUGGUGCUUCACAACCUGGAGGAGGGGCCCUGAGGAGCUCGACCUCCAAGGAAGGGCCUUACCCAGCUCUCAGGGGGCACAGUAAAACUGGAUGGGAGUGUGUAAGAAGCUGGAAGCAAGCCAAUGACCACUGCUAAGGUGAAGGGCCACUGCUGAGGUGACCAAGUGGAACAGCAAGAAAACAGGAGGGAGGAUCAGUCCUUCCCUCGGCCGUGCAUCCUCCCUCUAGUUCCAGGAGCCGAGCUGCAGGGGCAGAAACUACCAGGGAGCACCUGGCAGAGUGGAUAGGCCCGCCUCGAAGGGUGGGAAGGGGCUGAGAGGUAAGGGCUGAGCGACCAACCCAAGCAGAUGCUCGCUCCUCACAUUCAAUGUCCCUGAACACCAAAGGGACGCUAGCCCAUGACGACAACAAAAGGCAAAGUCAAUGAAUAAAGGAUAUAAAGCUUCACUCCCACCCACCCCAUUAUGGUUUCUUGAAGUUUUGAUCAGAUUUUACAGUAAAAACUUGAGUUAUCUGAAGAGUUCCAACCUCUUCCCCAAGUAAACUGCUUAUCUGUCUGUUCUCUUCCUCCAGUCCAUGUAAAUUAGUGUAAAGAAAAAUAUUUCCCUUAAUGAAUUUCUGGAAUCAAAAAGAAAACUUUGCUAGUAUCCAAUCUUAAGGAUUCUCAGAACUCUUCAGUUAAGAGGUUUGUUUUCUUUAUUCCCUGAUGUCCUUUCACUGGGCUGUGCAUUUGAGAAAGGAAAUGUCAAAGCAAAGUAGCCAAUGUACCAUCCAUAAAAAUAACCUGUUCACUGUUGGGAGAAGUAUCUCAAAGUGUUUUGGAGGGGUUUAUUCCCACCCAUGUUUUGGGGAAGAGGGGCAUCUGUGACCCUACUGAAACCCAAGAGCCCCUCUUGUCAUCUUGGUUGUCUGUGGUCACAUAGAUUUUCUUACUUCUCACUGCUCCACGAAGUCAUCUCAAUUCACUGGACAUGCCCAGCGUUUGAGCACGUCUUCAACCAUCAUGAUGUAUCCCUUAGACUGCACCACCCAACUACGGCCUUCCUAGGAAAAAAAUCCUUGGGCAGCAGCCAAAACCUAUCAUAGAAGCUAAGGAUCUCAAAUCAUAAUGAUAUCUUUUGCCUAUUAAUAGGCUUGUCUUUGCUUUCUUUUUUUAAUAUAAUUUUUUUCUCUACCGGCUAUAAGGUGCACCAACUGAAGGAAAUAGCCCAAGUAUUUGACUGAGUGUGCCUGCCCCCUGGUGGUCAGCCAGAUGAAGGACACACCACAGGAGAUGCUGUGAACUUGCACAACUGAACCUGGGACAAUGAAUUAAGAGAAAUGAUGAAGAAAGCUCACAAAUCAAAAUUCCCUCUAUCAGAGACAUGAAGAUCUGGUAUAAAAUGGAAAUUAAAUAUAAUGAAGAAGAAAAAAUUAAUGAGACAGUUUUAGAGACCAGGCACCAAAAUCUUAGUUUGAAAUACAUUGAUCUGGGUGCCUCCUGCUGCAUUAUGACUAGGUGUCUAUGUGUUCCGAUUGUUACGCUAAGUAAUUAAAUUAUAAUAAGGAUAGGGGCAGGCACUGAUACUUUUUUUAAAGCUCUUAGGUUAUUCCUGGGUGGAGGAAGGCUUCAGAACCACUGCCCUAGAAUGCAUCCAUCAGAAUCAGGCUCUAUCCUAGACCUAUUAAGUCAAAAUCUCCAGAGUUAGGUCCUAUAUCCUGCUUUUUCCAAAGCUUCCCAGGGAAUUAUUAAGUAUACUACCUUUAAGAAUUCUUAAGAAACUACAUUAGGAGUUCCCACCACGGCUCAGUGGAAACAAAACUGACUGGUAUCCAUGAGGAUGCAGGUUCGAUACUGGGCCUCGCUCAGUGGGUUGAGGAUCUGGCGUGGCUGUGAGCUGUGGUGUAGGUCACAGAUGCAGUUCAGAUCUGGCGUUGCUAUGGCCGUGGCGUGGACUGGGGGCUGCAGCUCUGAUUUGACCCCUGGCCUGGGAAUAACCAUAUGUGGCAGGUGCAGCCCUAAAAAAACAAACGAACAAAAAACAAGAAACUACAUUAUACAGAAAUGGGUAGGGGAAGGUAACUCCCAGUGGUAAAGGUGAAAGUUGCCUCAAGACAAAGUGACCUUGGGAACUGAGAUAGGCUUCAUCAACAAAGGUCUAAUGGAAGGCUUCAGAAAAAGCCAGAUAAACUCAACUUACAACAUAGCUGGCAGGAAAGGCCCCACUUUGUCUAUACGGCUUUUUUUGUUAGUGGGAAGCCUCCAUAAACUACCCUCUUUUAGUCUCUACACCCCUACUGCUCCCUCUCCCCCUUCACCCCAACAAAACCAGCAGCUGGAAGAAGCACCCAAUAGUCUCUUUUUCACUGACUUACCCUUGAGAAACAAUUAUUUGGAAAACGGACACUCCUUGGCCAUCUUUGUUUAGCCAAAAUGUGUCUGCCCUGCUCCCCUUCUCCCAAAAAUACAUACAUGCAAAGGAAAACAGGUAUCUAGGUCCUCCUCCUUGGCCGAGGAACCUUUGAAGAGAACUCCUGGGGUAGAGUGAGGGUUGGGCUGGAAGUAGAGGAUUUCUAAGUCCUGGCAAGUGGGUUUAAUUGCGUCAUACAAGACCCAAGGGGGCUGAAUGAUGCUCGUAAAUUAUUUACACUGUCAAAAAGAGCUCUAAGACCAUGUACAAGCUUCCUUCCUUUGAAAUAUCCUAAUGGUGUUUGGUCUAGAUUGAUAAAAGCAUGGUGAGUAUUACUGAGUAAGUUUAUGCUACACAGCUUCUAAAUGGAAUCUCAGGAGAGGUGAAUACAUAUAAACAGUUUGCAUUAAAAACAAAAACAUAUAGGCAAGAGAGCUUGUCAAAACCCUGACAGUCCUACCUGAGUUAUUUUAUUAUUUUAAAUUCUCAACCCCAUAUUCCCAUCAAAAUCAACCAAAGAGAUGUGCCCACAUUUGCUGAGAGUGGACCAGUCCAUACACAGUGCUACGGAUGCUCACAUGAGAUUCUGUUUCCAUGGGAACCUUGAAGGAGCAUACCUUAGUGGUGAGGAACUGGGUUUCACACAAGUUAGGCAACUUGCCCCAAAUUCUGCAGUCCUCCAUAGUAGAGAAAGAAAGCUCAAGUCCAAUCGCACCUGCCCACAAGGAUCAUUCCUCUGCUCCACAGAGGCUCCCUGUGACAGGGUCUGAAGUGGCUCUGACCCACUUGCUUACGCCUGCCUCACCAUUCUCGAUCUUAGGCCAAGCUGUCCAGUCUGACUUUGAAGCUCGCUUCAUAAACACCCAUACUUUCAGGGCUGACCAAAAAACCUCAGUCUGUGAAGCAGCAGUAACAGAGGAAAGGAUAAGAGAGACCCACAAAAAGUGUGGUGAACAAGGAUGGGCGUGACCCCUCCUGAAGGCCCUGGGGCUCCAUUUCCUAAAAUGCAACUGUGCUGGCCGACAGACAUUUCCCAGGCGGUGCUAUGUUUCAACCUUACAGAAAAUAGGAGUUCCCAUUGUGGCACAGUGGGAACAAACCUGAUUAGUAACCAUGAGGACACAGAUUCGAUGCCCGGCCUUGCUCAGUAGGUUAAGGAUCUGGCGUUUCCAUGAGCUAUGGUGUAGGUUGCAGACACGGCUUGGAUCUGGUGUGGCUGUGGCGUAGGCUGGCAGCUGCAGCUCUCGAUUCGACCCCUAGCCUGAGAACUUCCACAUGCCAUGAGCGCAGAUGAAGGAUGGAAGGAAGGAAGGAAAGAAGGAAAAAAAAGAAAAACCUUACAGAAAAUAAAAGGAAAGGUGAACCAAAAAGGCAUGAAGCAGCAAGGCAAGACACCCUGUAUGGCAUUUCCUAGCCACCUACUGGCUCCACACACCCAGAUGCCUCAGUACCAUCUCCUCAAGUGCAAUGUGCCUUUUUCUUAAAGAGUUACCUUUCCAAAAAACCACUUCCUCUCUUGAGGUGCCUGUUUCUCUCAAGAAAAUGAUCAUGUCCCUAGCCAGCUGGACCUGGAAAAGCUGUCAGCUGAACCCUGCCCUUCCCCCUGUGGUGCCACCAAGUCUUCCCUGUGACCCUUGUCCCUCCUUUGUCGCUAGUCUGGGCUCUCACUCCCUAGUGCCUCUAACUUGCUCUCAUACAUCCAGCAUUUUCCCUUUUAGUCCCAAUGAAAUAAUUACUCAAUUGUGUGCAGUGCAUUGCAGUGACAAAUGUGCUUUUGUUACGUUUUCUUACUUUCAUUUUAGUUUGAGCAAUACCACAGCUUGAUGAGGUAGGCAAGGAAAAUACUAUUUAUUCUUUAUAAGAGAUGUAAGAAAAACGCAAAAGGCUGAAGGGACUUGGCCACUGCCACUAGAAUAAUCUAACCUGGAUUGACAGGGCAUUUCUCUCUCCCUCUCCCACUCUGCCUCCCUGGCCCCUCCCAAACUCUGUAAGCCAACUGCUUGGGGAACUUUUCCACCUGGAUACCCCAGAGACAUAAUAAACUCACCAUGUCCAAAACUCCAUGCAUCCUGUCUUCUGAACUUGCUACUCUGAGGGUCCUAGUUCAGUGAACAAGGAUCACCCACAAUCCACUGUUGCCCACAUUAGAAACCCAAGUUCCUGACUCCUUGCCCACCUUCAGUCACUUAGCCAGUCACCAAUUUUUGGCUCCAUGAUGAUGAAAUCAUUUCUUGAAAUCAUCAGUUUCCUUCAAUCCCACUGCCCACCGCUGUCCAGCCCAUUAAUGUCCAUCUCUCUGAUGACACCUGCAUAUACCCCCAGCCCAUUUCACUGUUUUUUACCCCAUUUCCCUGUCUCCCCAAAACCCUCAAAAUAAAAGCCAAGCUCCUGAACCAGGCUGUCAGUCCUUCCAGUUUCUCAAGCCAGUGCCUCCCUGACUCAGUCCCUGCAGGCUCCCACUGUAAAAUACCAUAGUCUGGGCAGCUUCAACAACAGACAUUUAUUUCUCACAGUUCUGGAGGCUGGAAAGUCCAAAGUCAGCAUUCAUGUAGGGUGUGGCUUUUGGUGAGGAUUUUCGUCCUGGCUUGCAGUCACUCUGUCCCCAUGUAGCUCUUUGCUCAGAGAUGGGAGAGAGCACUAGAGAGCUAGCCAGCUCCCUCUGCCCCCUGGUAUCUCUGGUUGUAAGGGCACUAACUGUAUCAGAUCAGGGCCCCAUCAUCCUGUAACCUCAUUUAACCCUAAUUACUUCCUUAUAGAUCUUAUCUCCAAAUACAGUCACAUCGUGAGAUAUUGGGGUUUAAAGUCCCACAUAUGAAUUGGGGGUGGGAUUAGAUACACAAUCUGUAACAUCCCCCUCUAAUCUCAAGUGAAGACUUGACUUCUUGGUAGUCUACACUCCAGCCACACUGACUACCCAAUGGGAUCUUACCUCCACACCUUUGCCUAGUUUACUCCCUCUCUGGGACCCUGUCUCAUCUUGCUCCUUCUGUUCCUUACUCCCAUCUCAUCCUUUAAGCCACAGCCUACACAACCUCCAUUCCUCCACAAAGUCUGUCCUGACCUGCAGCCCCGCUCCCCAUCUGGGACUCAGGACCCCCACAUGUGUUCCCAGAACACUGAUGACAUGUGUCUGUAACCCUUACUUAUCCACGAAAGCAGGUACUGGGGCUGUCUCAUUCUCUGUUGGAUCUUUAACACAUGCCAGGCAAUACAUGUUCAAUAGAUACCAUUGUCUAGUGCCAUCCUCAGAAGGGAGCGAGGGAGGGAAGGAGGGACCAGAGGAAGCAAGGCUCUGUCUACAGAAGGAAGUCCCAUCCUUAGAGUGGCAUAGAAACCACCCUCUGCCAGGCAUUGAGACCCUAACAUUCAUAGGAAUGUCCUGGCCUGGCCUCAUAGGAAAAGCUGGGCUCUAUGUUGUCUUCAGGGGAAAAAGAGAACCAAUGGGCAGAAGUGAGAGAGAAACAGUUGGAAUGGGAAGAGGGCAAGUGUUUAACGAAAGCCACGAAAGAGGCUCAGAGUUUGUGCUGAAUAUCUUAAAGGUCCACUCCACCUUCAAGACACAUUCAUUUCUACACUGGUUUCCUUGCAUUUCCACAGGAAACAACUGCAGCCUUUUGUCAGAUUCCUUUGCUUACACACUGUCCUUGCCCUUAAAUUACGCACUGGCCUCCACAACACCCAGCCCUACUCUUUAGCUAGCACAGCUGUUUUCAAUGUCCCUGGACUCCUAGGGUCCCCGAGACCCUUUCAACGGAUCUGCAGGUUAUUUUCUUAACACUACUGUUAUGAAAUAUUUUCAUAGUAAUACAAAAGACAUUAUCUACCUCUAUUGCUGCGUUAACAUUGGUACUGAUGAUGCAAAAAUCAAGAGUGAGCAAAACUGCUGGCUCCUGAGUACAAAUCAUGUCAGUGGCACCACUGUAUUUUUCACUGUCAUGCACAAGUAUGAGUAAGGUCAGUUUCACCUAUGAAGAGUUUUGAUGAAUGAUUACUGACUUUAUUAAAUUCAUUGGUCCUGUCUUGGACUUUGAAAGAACUCUAUUUUACAGAUUUUUUUUAUUAUACCAUUAUUACCUUUCAUCUUUUUUAUUAUACUGUUAUUACCUUUUUUAUUAUUCUGUGAAUAAAUGGGAAAUAUACACACAGCACUUUUCCGAUAUAUUGAAGUAUAGGGUUAUAGCAAGGAAAGUUACUUUUUUUUUUUUUUUUUUUUUUUGUCUUUUUGCCUUUUCUUGGGCCACUCCCAUGGCAAAUGGAGGUUCCCAGGCUAGGGGUCGAAUUGGAAUGCAGCCGCCAGCCUAAGCCAGAGAAAUAGCAACACGGGAUCUGAGCAGUGUCUGCAACCUACACCACAGCUCACAGCAAUGCU